rnacentral:miRNA from 1 species
UGAGGCAGGAGAAUCACUUGAACCCAGGAGGUGGAGGUUGCAGUGAGCCGCGAUUGCGCCAUUGCACUCCAGCCUGGGUGACAGAGACUCAGUCUCAAAAAAAAAAAAA